AACAACCCAGACCGCCAGCUAAGGUCCCAAAUUACUACUAAGUGGGAAACGAUGUGGGAAGGCUCAGACAGCCAGGAUGUUGGCUUAGAAGCAGCCAUCAUUUAAAGAAAGCGUAAUAGCUCACUGGUCGAGUCGGCCUGCGCGGAAGAUGUAACGGGGCUAAGUAGUAAACCGAAGCUGCGGCAAUAUACUUUUGUAUAUUGGGUAGGGGAGCGUUCUGUAAGCGGUUGAAGGUGUGUGGUAACGCAUGCUGGACGUAUCAGAAGUGCGAAUGCUGACAUGAGUAACGAUAAAGGGGGCAGGGUAAGUCGACCCCUAAGGCGAGGCCGAAAGGCGUAGUCGAUGGGAAACGGGUUAAUAUUCCCGUACUUCUUACAAUUGCGAUGGGGGGACGGAGAAGGCUAGGUGGGCCUGGCGACGGUUGUCCAGGUUCAAGUGCGUAGGCUUAAGAGUUAGGUAAAUCCGGCUCUUUUUAAGGCUGAGACACGACGUCGAGCACCUACGGGUGUGAAGUCAUUGAUGCCAUGCUUCCAGGAAAAGCCUCUAAGCUUCAGAUUGUAAGGAAUCGUACCCCAAACCGACACAGGUGGUCGGGUAGAGAAUACCAAGGCGCUUGAGAGAACUCGGGUGAAGGAACUAGGCAAAAUGGUACCGUAACUUCGGGAGAAGGUACGCUCUCGACGGUGAAGUCCCUUGCGGAUGGAGCUAUUGAGAGUCGCAGAUACCAGGUGGCUGCAACUGUUUAUUAAAAACACAGCACUGUGCAAAAUCGUAAGAUGACGUAUACGGUGUGACGCCUGCCCGGUGCCGGAAGGUUAAUUGAUGGGGUUAGACUUCGGUCGAAGCUCUUGAUCGAAGCCCCGGUAAACGGCGGCCGUAACUAUAACGGUCCUAAGGUAGCGAAAUUCCUUGUCGGGUAAGUUCCGACCUGCACGAAUGGCGUAAUGAUGGCCACGCUGUCUCCACCCGAGACUCAGUGAAAUUGAAAUCGCUGUGAAGAUGCAGUGUACCCGCGGCUAGACGGAAAGACCCCGUGAACCUUUACUACAGCUUGGCACUGAACAUUGACCCUACAUGUGUAGGAUAGGUGGGAGGCUUUGAAGCACGUACGCCAGUAUGUGUGGAGCCGUCCUUGAAAUACCACCCUUGUAGUGUUGAUGUUCUAACGUCGACCCCUUAUCGGGGUUGCGGACAGUGCCUGGUGGGUAGUUUGACUGG
rnacentral:rRNA from 1 species